AGUGAACGCUGGCGGUAGGCCUAACGCAUGCAAGUCGAACGGCAGCACAGUAAGAGCUUGCUCUUACGGGUGGCGAGUGGCGGACGGGUGAGGAAUACAUCGGAAUCUACUUUUUCGUGGGGGAUAACGUAGGGAAACUUACGCUAAUACCGCAUACGACCUACGGGUGAAAGCAUGGGAUCUUCGGACCUUGCGCGAUUGAAUGAGCCGAUGUCGGAUUAGCUAGUUGGCGGGGUAAAGGCCCACCAAGGCGACGAUCCGUAGCUGGUCUGAGAGGAUGAUCAGCCACACUGGAACUGAGACACGGUCCAGACUCCUACGGGAGGCAGCAGUGGGGAAUAUUGGACAAUGGGCGCAAGCCUGAUCCAGCCAUACCGCGUGGGUGAAGAAGGCCUUCGGGUUGUAAAGCCCUUUUGUUGGGAAAGAAAAGCAGCAGGUUAAUACCCCGCUGUUCUGACGGUACCCAAAGAAUAAGCACCGGCUAACUUCGUG
rnacentral:rRNA from 1 species